rnacentral:rRNA from 1 species
CCCUGUACACACGGAUAACAUUCCGAAAGGUAUGCUAAUACGGGAUAAUAUAUUUGAGAGGCAUCUCUUAAAUAUCAAAGGUGAGCCAGUACAGGAUGGACCCGCGUCUGAUAAGCUAGUUGGUAAGGUAACGGCUUACCAAGGCGACGACCAGUAGCCGACCUGAGAGGGUGAUCGGCCACAUUGGAACUGAGACACGGUCCAAACUCCUACGGGAGGCAGCAGUGGGGAAUAUUGCACAAUGGGCGAAAGCCUGAUGCAGCAACGCCGCGUGAGUGAUGAAGGCCUUCGGGUCGUAAAACUCUGUCCUCAAGGAAGAUAAUGACGGUACUUGAGGAGGAAGCCCCGGCUAACUACGUGCCAGCAGCCGCGGUAAUACGUAGGGGGCUAGCGUUAUCCGGAUUUACUGGGCGUAAAGGGUGCGUAGGCGGUCUUUCAAGUCAGGAGUGAAAGGCUACGGCUCAACCGUAGUAAGCUCUUGAAACUGGGAGACUUGAGUGCAGGAGAGGAGAGUGGAAUUCCUAGUGUAGCGGUGAAAUGCGUAGAUAUUAGGAGGAACACCAGUUGCGAAGGCGGCUCUCUGGACUGUAACUGACGCUGAGGCACGAAAGCGUGGGGAGCAAACAGGAUUAGGUACCCUGGUAGUCCACGCUGUAAACGAUGAGUACUAGGUGUCGGGGGUUACCCCCUUCGGUGCCGCAGCUAACG